ensembl:misc_RNA Metazoa_SRP Metazoan signal recognition particle RNA
GUUGGGCACAGUGGUCCACGCCUGUGGUCCUGGCUACUCAGGAGGCUGAGGCAGGAGGAUCGCUUGAGCUCAGGCAUUCUGGGCUGUACUGGUCUAUGUCCACAGGGUGUCCACACUAUGUUCCCCAUCAAUAUGGUGACCUCCUGGGAGCACGGGAUCACCAGGUUGCCUAAGGAGGAGUGAACUGACCCAGGUCAAAAACAGAGCGGGUCAAAACUCCGUUUUGUGCCAAUCAGUAGUGGGAUUGCACCUGUGAAUAGCCACUUUACUCCAGCCUGGGCAACAUAAAGAGACCCCACCUUU